GACGAACGCUGGCGGCGUGCUUAACACAUGCAAGUCGAACGGAAAGGCCCUGCUUUUGUGGGGUGCUCGAGUGGCGAACGGGUGAGUAACACGUGAGUAACCUGCCCUUGACUUUGGGAUAACUUCAGGAAACUGGGGCUAUUACCGGAUAGGAGCUCCUGCUGCAUGGUGGGGGUUGGAAAGUUUCGGCGGUUGGGGAUGGACUCGCGGCUUAUCAGCUUGUUGGUGGGGUAGUGGCUUACCAAGGCCUUGACGGGUAGCCGGCCUGAGAGGGUGACCGGCCACAUUGGGACUGAGAUACGGCCCAGACUCCUACGGGAGGCAGCAGUGGGGAAUAUUGCACAAUGGGCGGAAGCCUGAUGCAGCAACGCCGCGUGCGGGAUGACGGCCUUCGGGUUGUAAACCGCCUUCGCCUGUGACGAAGCGUGAGUGACGGUAAUGGGUAAAGAAGCACCGGCUAACUACGUGCCAGCCGCCGCGGUAAUAC
rnacentral:rRNA from 1 species